rnacentral:rRNA from 1 species
CGAACCCUACGGGGGGCAGCAGUGGGGGAUAUUGGACAAUGGGGGAAACCCUGAUCCAGCGAUGCCGCGUGAGGGAAGAAGGUUUUCGGAUUGUAAACCUCUGUGGAGGGGGACGAUAAUGACGGUACCUCCAAAGGAAGCGCCGGCUAACUCCGUGCCAGCAGCCGCGGUAAUACGGAGGGCGCGAGCGUUAAUCGGAAUUACUGGGCGUAAAGCGCGCGUAGGCUGUUGUGUAAGUUGGGGGUGAAAUCCCACGGCUCAACCGUGGAACAGCCCUUGAUACUGCGCGACUUGAAUCCGGGAGG